rnacentral:rRNA from 1 species
GACGAACGCUGGCGGCGUGCUUAACACAUGCAAGUCGAACGGAAAGGCCCUGCUUUUGUGUGGUGCUCGAGUGGCGAACGGGUGAGUAACACGUGAGUAACCUGCCUCUGACUGUGGGACAACUUCAGGAAACUGGGGCUAAUACCGGAUAGGAGCACCUGCUGCAUGGUGGGGGUGGGAAAGGUUCGGCGGUUGGGGAUGGACUGGCGGCUUAUCAGUUUGUUGGUGGGGUAGUGGCUUACCAAGGCUUUGACGGGUAGCCGGCCUGAGAGGGUGACCGGCAACAUUGGGACUGAGCUACGGCCCAGACUCCUACGGGAGGCAGCGGUGGGGAAGAUUGCACAAUGGGCGGAAGCCUGAUGCAGCAACGCCGCGUGGGGGAUAACGGCCUUCGGGUUGUAAACCGCUUUCGCCUGUGACGAAGCGUGAGUGACGGUAAUGGGUAAAGAAGCACCGGCUAACUACGUG